UACGAAGGGUGCAAGCGUUGUUCGGAUUUAUUGGGCGUAAAGCGCGCGUAGGCGGACCUUUAAGUCAGAUGUGAAAUCUCGGGGCUCAACCUCGAAACUGCGUCUGAAACUGGAGGUCUAGAAUCUUGGAGGGGGAAGGGGAAUUUCACAUGUAGGGGUAAAAUCCGUAGAUAUGUGAAGGAACACCAGAGGCGAAGGCGCCUUCCUGGACAAGUAUUGACGCUGAGGCGCGAAAGCGUGGGGAUCAAACAGG
rnacentral:rRNA from 1 species